rnacentral:rRNA from 1 species
AGAGUUUGAUCCUGGCUCAGGAUGAACGCUAGCUACAGGCUUAACACAUGCAAGUCGAGGGGAAACGACAUCGAAAGCUUGCUUUUGAUGGGCGUCGACCGGCGCACGGGUGAGUAACGCGUAUCCAACCUGCCCAUCACUUGGGGAUAACCUUGCGAAAGUAAGACUAAUACCCAAUGACGUCUCUAGAAGACAUCUGAAAGAGAUUAAAGAUUUAUCGGUGAUGGAUGGGGAUGCGUCUGAUUAGCUUGUUGGCGGGGUAACGGCCCACCAAGGCGACGAUCAGUAGGGGUUCUGAGAGGAAGGUCCCCCACAUUGGAACUGAGACACGGUCCAAACUCCUACGGGAGGCAGCAGUGAGGAAUAUUGGUCAAUGGGCGAGAGCCUGAACCAGCCAAGUAGCGUGCAGGAUGACGGCCCUAUGGGUUGUAAACUGCUUUUAUAAGGGAAUAAAGUGAGUCUCGUGAGACUUUUUGCAUGUACCUUAUGAAUAAGGACCGGCUAAUUCCGUGCCAGCAGCCGCGGUAAUACGGAAGGUCCGGGCGUUAUCCGGAUUUAUUGGGUUUAAAGGGAGCGUAGGCCGGAGAUUAAGCGUGUUGUGAAAUGUAGACGCUCAACGUCUGCACUGCAGCGCGAACUGGUUUCCUUGAGUACGCACAAAGUGGGCGGAAUUCGUGGUGUAGCGGUGAAAUGCUUAGAUAUCACGAAGAACUCCGAUUGCGAAGGCAGCUCACUGGAGCGCAACUGACGCUGAAGCUCGAAAGUGCGGGUAUCGAACAGGAUUAGAUACCCUGGUAGUCCGCACGGUAAACGAUGGAUGCCCGCUGUUGGUCUGAAUAGGUCAGCGGCCAAGCGAAAGCAUUAAGCAUCCCACCUGGGGAGUACGCCGGCAACGGU